GUCCUUAUACACGUCACCGCUCAAAACUCUCUUAUCCUACGCAUCUUCCGUUCACAAUAACAUACCAAAGCAAUACAGUCUGCGCAAUAUAGAUGGCGGCUCUCAUUACCGCGCCUUUAAUCAGACUCCACCGAGACGUGUCGAUUUCAUGACAUGUCCACGUCACAGUUUUUGUCUCUUAUCUUCAUCGUCCCUAACUUUUUGCCAUUUCUAGGGUUUCUAGCAAUUUCGCUUCAAACACUUUCGUCACCUUUCUCUCUACUAUUUCUGAGAUUGAAAUUUGAAUUUCCUUAGCUUCCGACGAUGGGGUUGGUCCCCGAUCCAGGCGAGUUAACCGAGCUAGCACAGCCGAGUUUUGACAAGUUUCAGAAGCAGGCGUCGUUGAUGACGAGCUGCAGUCUUAUGUGGAAGGAUCUCACCGAUCACUUCACUACACUGGAGCAGAACCUGAUGAAAAAAUCAGAGGCGCUGAAGAAGAUGAUUGAAACCCUAGACAACCAGACUCAGACCUCUCUCGAGUCAAUCGACCGCAGCGUCGAGAUCGUCGCUGAGAAAGUUGGGAAACGCGUCAGAGCUGCUCUGGAGUCGCUUGAGAAAGCUAGAGACGGCGGCGAUGACGACGACAGUGAGGUUGACGACGAUGAUGAGGAAGGGCUUCUCUCUGCAUUGAAGUCUCUCUGUUGGAAGAUGGACGCUAGAGGAUUCUGGAGCUUCGUGACGGCGAGGAAGAAGGAGAUUGAGAAUCCCCGGUCAAAGAUUCCGGCGGCGUUGGGGGACUGUGUGGAUCCGGAGAUGUUGGUGCUCGAGGCGAUCUCUGAGGUUUUCCCGGUGGAUAAAAGGGAGUCUGGAGAAAAGAUGAUGAACGAUUUCGCAUGGGCUUGUGUGGUGAUUCUGGAAAGUUUAGGGCCUGUGAUGGUGGAUCCGGUGAUCGGGAAGUCGCGGUUGAUUGUUACUCCUAGCGUUAAGGAGAAGGCUGAGGAGGUGGCAGAGACGUGGAAGGCGAGUUUGGAGGAGAGAGGGAGGGUGGAGGAUGUGAAGACUCCUGAUGUCCAUACGUUUCUGCAGCAUCUUGUGAUGUUUGGGAUUUUCAGAAGUGAAGAUCUUGGUCUCUACAGAAAGCUUGUUGUUGGUUCCGCAUGGCGUAAACAGAUGCCGAAGCUUGCUGUUUCGGUUGGUUUAGGUGAUCAGAUGCCAGAUAUGAUCGAAGAGUUGAUCAGCAGGGGACAUCAACUUGAUGCUGUUCAUUUUACUUAUGAAGUUGGUCUUGUGGAUAAGUUCCCUCCUGUUUGCUCAAAGCCUAUCUAAGGGACGCAAAGAAGACAGCAGUGGAGGACUCCAGCAACAUUGGCCGACCUUCGAAUCUUGUGGCGCGAAAGGAGCAAUCAGCUCUCAAGGCGGUAUUGAAGUGCAUAGAAGAGUACAAACUCAAAGAAGAGUUCCCUCCAGAGAACCUCAAGAAGCGUUUGGACCAGCUGGAGAAGACUAAAACCGACAAGAGAAAACCAGCAGCUGUACCAGCAAACAAGAGAACCAGAGCCAGCUACAACGGUCCAAUGCCACCAGCCAAAGUCGGUCGUAUCACAAACGCAUACGUCUCUUCCUUCCCCUUCAUCAGAUCACCCUCUCACUCACCUCAGUACGCUUCACCAUCAGCUUACCCAUCCCCACCUGUUACUGUCUACAGCAACAGAAGCCCACCUUAUCCAUACUCGCCUGAGCUUAUCCCGGGCUCAUACCAAGGCUCACCUAUCGGUUAUCCAGCGUACAGCGGUUAUUGCAACGGUCCGGUUCCUGUUACUGCCCCAGCUCCUCCGGUUUACCACCCACACUACCAUCAGCAGCAGCACCACCAACACGCUCACCAUCCGCAAGCUUACUACUGAAUUUAGAGAAAUCAAGAAGGAAGGAUGGUAAUAACCAACAACCACUGAUACCUGUGACAACUACUCUGGUCUACUCUCUGCGUCUGCAUCUUUGUCUAUCUACGUUUUGUUGUAAUAUUUUCGAAGCCUAACUCCUUUUAGUAAGUUAGCUCUCCUUUUCUGUUGUGUGUUUAUUAGUUUACCUAUAAACAAAACCCUUCCUUGGGAUGUUUUGUCCACAAAAUCAUCUUUCUAUUAAUUAAAUGAAAACUUUUCUUUGUCACAAA